AGUGAACGCUGGCGGUAGGCCUAACACAUGCAAGUCGAACGGCAGCACAGUAAGAGCUUGCUCUUACGGGUGGCGAGUGGCGGACGGGUGAGGAAUACAUCGGAAUCUACUUUUUCGUGGGGGAUAACGUAGGGAAACUUACGCUAAUACCGCAUACGACCUACGGGUGAAAGCAGGGGAUCUUCGGACCUUGCGCGAUUGAAUGAGCCGAUGUCGGAUUAGCUAGUUGGCGGGGUAAAGGCCCACCAAGGCGACGAUCCGUAGCUGGUCUGAGAGGAUGAACCGGCCACACGGAAACGGGAACAGGUCCAGGACUCUAAGGGAGGGCGGCGGGGGGAAUAUUGGACCAAGGGGGGAAGCCUGAUCCAGGCCUAACGGGUGGGUUAAGGAGGCCUUUGGGGUGUAAAGGCCUUUUGUUGGGAAAGAAAAGGCGGCGGUUAAUAACCCGGUGUUCUGGCGGUAACCAAAGAAUAAGGCACGGCUAAAUUCGUG
rnacentral:rRNA from 1 species